rnacentral:rRNA from 1 species
UACGGAGGGUGCGAGCGUUGUCCGGAAUCAUUGGGCGUAAAGGGCGCGUAGGUGGCCCCUCAAGCGUGCGGUGAAAGUCAGGGGCUCAACCCCUGAUCGGCCGUGCGAACUGGGGAGCUUGAGCACUGUAGAGGCAGGCGGAAUUCCGGGUGUAGCGGUGGAAUGCGUAGAGAUCCGGAAGAACACCGGUGGCGAAGGCGGCCUGCUGGGCAGUUUUGCUGACACUGAGGCGCGACAGCGUGGGGAGCAAACAGG